UACAGAGGGUGCAAGCGUUGUUCGGAUUCAUUGGGCGUAAAGGGUGCGUAGGCGGCGCGGUAAGUCGGGUGUGAAAUCUCGGAGCUUAACUCCGAAACUGCAUUCGAUACUGCCGUGCUUGAGGACUGGAGAGGAGACUGGAAUUUACGGUGUAGCGGUGAAAUGCGUAGAUAUCGUAAGGAAGACCAGUGGCGAAGGCGGGUCUCUGGACAGUUCCUGACGCUGAGACGCGAAAGCUAGGGGAGCGAACGGG
rnacentral:rRNA from 1 species